rnacentral:rRNA from 1 species
GUGGGGAAUUUUGCGCAAUGGGCGAAAGCCUGACGCAGCGACGCCGCGUGGGUGACGAAGGCCCUCGGGUUGUAAAGCCCUGUGGGGAGGGAAGAAUAAGGGGCGGCUAACAUCCGCACCGAUGACGGUACCUCCUUAGCAAGCACCGGCUAACUCUGUGCCAGCAGCCGCGGUAAGACAGAGGGUGCAAACGUUGUUCGGAAUUACUGGGCGUAAAGCGCGUGUAGGCGGCUACGCAAGUCGGAUGUGAAAGCCCUUGGCUCAACUGAGGAAGUGCAUUCGAAACUGCGUAGCUCGAGUCCCGGAGAGGAUGGUGGAAUUCUCGGUGUAGAGGUGAAAUUCGUAGAUAUCGAGAGGAACACCAGUGGCGAAGGCGGCCAUCUGGACGGUGACUGACGCUGAGACGCGAAAGCAUGGGGAGCAAACAGGAUUAGAUACCCCUGUAGUCC